UAGGCUUCAGGGAGACACACAUCUGGAUUCGAAUCCAGGCUUGGGCAAAUUACUUAAUAUCUCUAGACCUCAGUUUUUGCUUUGUUUUCAUCUGCAAAGCAAAAAUGGUGUUGCAUAUAACUUGGCUGUGAGGACUCAGUGAGAUACUACAGGUAGAUGGCCAAGCACAAAGUCUGUCCGGAGCUAAGCAAGAGAUAUGCGAUCUUGCCUAUUUUUAUUUUUAUUACCCAAGGUCACAGCCAAGCUUGGCUAGUGUCUGUCUCAUUCUAAGCCCAUGUUCUUUCCACCCUACCUUUCUGCCUCCCACAUGCAUGGCUGAUUACAUAGAAGGACAGAUGGCUUGCUCUGUGGAAGCUGAGAGCCUAGCAGGGCUUUGGUUAAAUGAUUGGGGAGCAAGCAUAAAUUAAGAACAAUGUCAUCCAAAGAAGUUGUAAUCCAAAGCUUUUCAUCAAAACUUCCACAUUUUGGUUUCAGACAGGCCAUCUCUAUGACGUUAAUCAAACGGAGGGAUCUGCUACAAACCACCCUUGUGGGAGGUCUCCUUUGUACAUUCAUCUCAGCUGACACUGUAGAGGUGGUUGAAUGCAGCUGCCCAAUGUGCUGGCCCAGCCCAGGACAAAACCAAGAAUGAAACGGUCCCAUUGCCUGGACUUCUUAAUGGCUCAUUAUUGUUCUGGGGGCAGAAGGAAAGCCCUUUCCUCCCGUAGCUGGCAUGGUUAUAGUGGGAGCUGGACCUUGUGAUUAGUUUGGCCAUUAAGGUGCCCCAAGGCAUGGCUAGCUGCCCAAUGGUGUUUUACCAAUUGUUACAGGGCCAGUUUCAAUAGCUACUCUGUCUUGUGGUCACAUUGUUCAAAGAGAUGGACAAUGUGUUCCUAGAAUGUCUUGACCAGAAUGGGCCAUGUGAUUUGCGGAACAAAACUUGGUCAGGCUUUUUUGCUUCAGUCUAUGCUAGACAAUAGCAAGUGACUCAAAAGUUUUCACAGGGACCCCAGGUCACCCACACAAAACCUUAAGAAUGACUCAUGACUUAGUAUCCCCUUUCCCAAGGAGAACAGAACCUCUCUUGUCUUUUGCAAACAAUGACCCCACAGCCUCAGAAUAUUUUUUCUUUCUUUUCAAGUGAAACCUUGAUAUCAUCAGUGAAUUUGGGGUUAUUUUACCUCCACCACACCCUGUCAUGCUGGGAGAGAAGACAGGGUAGAAAUGGGGGUGUUUUGGUCAGUUUUUUUUUUUUUAUUUCUACUGUGACCAAAAGACCUGAUAAGAAUAAUUAGAGGAGGAAAAGUUUAUUUGGAAGCUCACAGUUUCAGAGGUCUCUGUCCAUAGAUGGCUGACUCCAUUGCUCCGGGUCCAAAGUAUAUCAGAACAACAUGGUAGGCAAAUGUGGUAGAGGAAAGAAGCUGGGAAUCUGGUACCAGGAAGCAGAAAGAGAGCUCUGCUCACCAAGGACAAAAUAUAAAUCCCAAAGACAGGCCCCCAGAGAUCCAGCUCCUCCAGCCACACCCAACCUGCCUGCAAUUACCACCAAGUUAAUCUCUAUUAGGGAUGUAAUGCACUGAUUAGGUUAAACCUUUUACAACUCAAUCAUUUCAUCUCUAAACUUUUGCAUUGUUUCACACAUGAGCUUUUGGGGAAUACCUAAUCUAAACCAUAACAGGGUUUUGGUCAAAAUAAUUAUAAGAAACUACUUCCCAGGGUUCUUUUGGAGCCUUUGAAGAAAAUUGUCAUACACAAUAAAAUUACAAAAAUAAUUAUUAUGAUAGUUUUUGACACUGAUUGAACACAGCCUCUGUACCAGCAUAAUGCAUAGCACUCGAUAUGUGUCAUUUCAUUUAAUGCUAACAGCAUCUCAUAAGGCAGGUGUUGCUUCCUGAGGAGGACUAGGAGUCACAGCUCUGGGAGUCAGCAACUAUGGUUCUAGAUUGGUCUCUUUUGACCCUUUGCAAGGGUCACAUUGUCUUUCUGAGCUUCUGUUACCUAACUCAUAAAAAUAGAAAGGAUGUUUUACCUUCUACGAAGAGUUAUUGUGAGAGGCAAUUAUCAUAGACAAGGCACUGCCUUAAGCAUCUUACUCCUUAAAUACCCUUUGAGAAAAAUCCAGGUGCAGAGAGGUUAAGCUACUGUUCCAAGUAGCACAGCUAGGAAGUUUUGAACCCAUAUCUGUUUGACCUCCAAAGUCAAAGUUCUUAAAUAGGCAAAUGUGAAAGCAUUUUGAAAAAAAUAUCUGAAAAGGCAUCAUUACUACUGAAUCAAAGUAAAUUGUCCUGAGGCCCAUUUAGGAUCAUCACUGAGCAUAACUAGCAGGACUAGUUCUAGAGAGAAGAAGGGGAAAAAAUGAGAAAUUUGAUUUGAAAUCAUUUGUUUGCACAAGGAAGUAAUACAGAUAAGUUCCAAUUAUGGAUUAUUCUUUAAGACAGUGGGCCUGGGACCUUUAAAACUGCCAAUGUCAUGAAAGAUAAAACUAAAAGGCAGGUGAAGGACUUUUUUCAGCAAAGAGAUCAAAGAGUUAUGAUGGCCAAAUCCAAUGAGAGAUCCUUACCUAGGUCCCAGAUGAGCAAAACCAUACCUGUCACAUAGACCAUUCUGGAGACAGUUGGAGGUAUUUGAAUGUAGAAUGUAUAAUGGGUAGUAUUGUUCUAUCUAUGUCAAUGUAAGACAAUGUCAUUUUUCUUGGAAGAAAAUAUUGCUGAAAUAUUUAGAAGUGAAGUGUGUUGAUGUCAGCAGCUAGGUUUCAGACAGCUCAGGGGGAAAACGGUGAGAAUAUCUGCAGAGAGGAGAAAGCAAAUGUCAUAAAAUGUUAACAACUGGUGAAUCUAGGUGAAAAUGUGUGUGU
rnacentral:lncRNA from 1 species